CUGGCGGCGUGGCUAACACAUGCAAGUCGAACGAGAAAGUGGAGCAAUCCAUGAGUAAAGUGGCGACCGGGUGAGUAACACGUGACUAACCUACCUCCGAGUGGGGAAUAACUCCGGGAAACCGGGGCUAAUACCGCAUAACAUCGCAAGAUCAAAGCAGCAAUGCGCUUGGAGAGGGGGUCGCGGCUGAUUAGCUAGUUGGCGGGGUAACGGCCCACCAAGGCGAAGAUCGGUAUCCGGCCUGAGAGGGCGCACGGACACACUGGAACUGAAACACGGUCCAGACUCCUACGGGAGGCAGCAGUGGGGAAUUUUGCGCAAUGGGGGAAACCCUGACGCAGCAACGCCGCGUGGAGGAUGAAGCCCUUUGGGGCGUAAACUCCUUUCGACUCGGACGAUAAUGACGGUACGAGUGGAAGAAGCACCGGCUAACUCUGUGCCAGCAGCCGCGGUAAUACAGAGGGUGCAAGCGUUGUUCGGAAUUAUCGGGCGUAAAGGGCGCGUAUGCGGUGCGGUAAGUCACCUGUGAAAUCUCCUGGCUU
rnacentral:rRNA from 1 species